UUCUUCCAUUCCACUGAACACCUAAUAUAGAAAAAAAUAAUUUCGACGAGCUUCUUCGGUGAAUCAACACCUCUACUUUCUUCUUCUCAUUCUCCAGAGCUUGGUGGCAAAGCUUCCUUCCACAUGAAGAAAAUUGCCGACCUGUAAGCGCAUAUCAAGCGUGGUCAACCCUGAGUUUACCCAGGUUAAGAGGUGCACGAGCCAUUGAUAGAGGGGUUCUUAUAUGUGAGAAACCCGGGAUCACCACACAGGGAUAUCAGUGGCCAAUGUCAAGGUUAUGAAUACCUUCAUGGCUCUCAACCUAGUCGCGAUGGCGGGCUGUGACGUUGGAGUGGGUUAUGCUGGGCAAGCAGUAGACUGAAUUACCUUUUCUUCUUGUCUAUGUUAGUUGCAGUGUGCAUGUAAACUUUAUG